CCUACGGGAGGCAGCAGUGGGGAAUAUUGCACAAUGGGGGAAACCCUGAUGCAGCGACGCCGCGUGAGUGAAGAAGUAUCUCGGUACGUAAAGCUCUAUCAGCAGGGAAGAAAAUGACGGUACCUGACUAAGAAGCCCCGGCCAACUACGUGCCAGCAGCCGUGGUAAUACGCAGGGGGCCAGCGUUAUCCGGAUUUACUGGGUGUUAAGGGAGGGUAGACGGUAGCAGAAGUCUGGAGUGAAAUCCCGGGGCUUAACCCCGGAACUGCUUUGGAAACUGUGCGGCUGGAGUACAGGAGGGGUAAGCGGAAUUCGUGGUGUAGCGGUGAAAUGCGUAGAUAUUAGGAAGAACACCGAUGGCGAAGGCAGCUUACUGGACUGUAACUGACAUUGAGGCUCGAAAGCGUGGGGAGCAAACAGGAUUAGAUACCCCAGUAGUC
rnacentral:rRNA from 1 species